UGAUCCUGCCGGAGAUCACCGCUAUCCGGGUUCGGCUUAUCCAUGCGAGACGAGAGGGGUUAAGCCCUCGUCGUACUGCUGAGUAACACGUAGUCAAUCUACUCUUAGGUGGGGAAUAAUCUUGGGAAACUGAGGCUAAUACCCCAUAGAUUAUAGAUACUGGAAUGUUCUAUAAUCCAAAGCUCCGGCGCCUAAGAAUGAGACUGCGGCCUAUCAGAUUGUUGUCAGGAUAAAAACCUGACAAGUCUAUAACGGGUAAGGGCCAUGAGAGUGGAUGCCCUCAGAUGUUUUCUGAGACAUGAAAACAGGGCCUACGGGUCGCAGCAGGAGCGAAAACUUUCCAAUGCGUUAAUGCGUGAGAAGGGAACCUGGAGUGAUUACACUUCAAGUGUAAUCUUUUGUUUAGGCUAAAGAUCUAUUCGAAUAAGGAGUGGGCCAGACAGGUGCCAGCCGCCACGGUAAUACCUGCGCUCCAAGUGGUGAUCAUUUUUAUUGGGCUUAAAGCGUCCGUAGCCGGUUUAAUAAGUUUCUAGUGAAAUCCUGCAGCUAACUGCAGGGCGUGCUGGAAAUACUGUUAGACUUGGGACCGGGAGAAGUCAGAGGUAUUCCAUGUGUAGGGGUUAAAUCCUUUAAUCCAUGGAGGACCGCCUGUGGCGAAUAUUUUUGAGUAUUGAAAAUUAUAAGCACACAAAAUAUUCCAUAAAAGGCGUCUGACUAGAACGGGUCCGACGGUGAGGGACGAAAGCUAGGGGAGCGAUCGGGAUUAGAUACCCCGGUAGUCCUAGCCGUAAACGAUGCCCGCUUGGUGUCGCGUAUCUUAUGUGGAUAUGCGGUGCCGGAGCGUAAGUGUUAAGCGGGCCGCCUGGGGAGUACGUCCGCAAGGAUGAAACUUAAUGGAAUUGGCGGGGGAGCACACAAGAAGUGGAGGCUGCGGUUCAAUUGGAUUCGACGCCGAACAACUCACGGGGGUUGACAGCAGUAUGAUGGUCACUCUGAAGGGGUUACCUGACGCGCUGAGAGGUGUUGCAUGGCCAACGUCAGCUCGUACCAUGAGGCGUGCGCUUAAGUGCGUUAACGGGCAAGACCCACGCCGUCAUUUGCUAUUAUCUUCUCCGGAAGGUAAGCACCAUGACGGGACCGCUGGUGAUGAACCAGAGGAAGGUGUGGACAACGUUAGGUCCGUAUGGCCCGAAUACCCUCGGCUACACGCGGCCUACAAUGGGUGGUACAAUGCGAUGCAAUACUGAAAAGUAAAGCUAAUCGUUAAAGCCACUCUUAGUACGGAUUGAGGAUUGUAAUUCAUCCUCACGAAGCCGGAAUUUCUAGUAGGCGAAAUUCACUAUAUUUCGCCGAAUACGUCCCUGCUC
rnacentral:rRNA from 1 species